rnacentral:rRNA from 1 species
GACGAACGCUGGCGGCGUGCCUAAUACAUGCAAGUCGAGCGGAUUGAUGGGAGCUUGCUCCCUGAUAUCAGCGGCGGACGGGUGAGUAACACGUGGGCAACCUGCCUAUAAGACUGGGAUAACUUCGGGAAACCGGAGCUAAUACCGGAUAAUCCCUUUCCUCUCAUGAGGAAAGGCUGAAAGAUGGUUUACGCUAUCACUUAUAGAUGGGCCCGCGGCGCAUUAGAUAGUUGGUGAGGUAACGGCCCACCAAGGCAACGAUGCGUAGCCGACCUGAGAGGGUGAUCGGCCACACUGGGACUGAGACACGGCCCAGACUCCUACGGGAGGCAGCAGUAGGGAAUCUUCCGCAAUGGACGAAAGUCUGACGGAGCAACGCCGCGUGAGUGAUGAAGGUUUUCGGAUCGUAAAACUCUGUUGUUAGGGAAGAACAAGUACGAGAGUAACUGCUCGUACCUUGACGGUACCUAACCAGAAAGCCACGGCUAACUACGUGCCAGCAGCCGCCGUAA